AACGCACAUUGCGCCCUCUGGUAUUCCGGGGGGCAUGCCUGUUCGAGCGUCAUUACACCACUCAAGCCUGGCUUGGCAUUGGGCGACGGGGGCGACCCGGGCCCGAAAGUGACCGGCUGGUGGCUCCAGAUCUCAGCGUCGUGGCAUCAUAUCGCUGGCGAGACGGGGCGACCGCGCCGUUAAACUCUUAUUCAGGUUGACCUCGGAUCAGGUAGGGAUACCCGCUGAACUUAA
rnacentral:misc_RNA from 1 species